GACGAACGCUGGCGGCGUGCUUAACACAUGCAAGUCGAACGGUAAGGCCCUUCGGGGUACACGAGUGGCGAACGGGUGAGUAACACGUGGGUGAUCUGCCCUGCACUUCGGGAUAAGCCUGGGAAACUGGGUCUAAUACCGGAUAGGACCACUGCCUGCAUGGGUGGUGGUGGCAAGCUUUUGCGGUGUGGGAUGGGCCCGCGGCCUAUCAGCUUGUUGGUGGGGUGAUGGCCUACCAAGGCGACGACGGGUAGCCGGCCUGAGAGGGUGACCGGCCACACUGGGACUGGGAUACGGCCCAGACUCCUACGGGAGGCAGCAGUGGGGAAUAUUGCACAAUGGGCGCAAGCCUGAUGCAGCGACGCCGCGUGAGGGAUGACGGCCUUCGGGUUGUAAACCUCUUUCAGCACCGACGAAGCGCAAGUGACGGUAGGUGCAGAAGAAGGACCGGCCAACUACGUGCCAGCAGCCGCCGCCG
rnacentral:rRNA from 1 species